rnacentral:rRNA from 1 species
AUUGAACGCUGGCGGCAGGCCUAACACAUGCAAGUCGAACGAGUGGCGGACGGGUGAGUCAUGUCUGUGAAACUUCCCGAUGGAGGGGGAUAACUACUGGAAACGGUAGCUAAUACCGCAUACCCUCGGAUGUGCCCCAAUGGGAUUAGCUAGUAGGUGGGGUAACGGCUCACCUAGGCGACGAUCCCUAGCUGGUCUGAGAGGAUGACCAGCCACACUGGAACUGAGACACGGUCCAGACUCCGACGGGAGGCAGCAGUGGGGAAUAUUGCACAAUGGGCGAAAGCCUGAUGCAGCCAUGCCGCGUGUAUGAAGAAGGCCUUCGGGUUGUAAAGUACUUUCAGCGAGGAGGCGUUACUCGCAGAAGAAGCACCGGCUAACUCCGUGCCAGCAGCCGCGGUAAUUC